rnacentral:rRNA from 1 species
AAUUUCUUAGAGCUUGCUCUUAGAAAUUAGCGGCGGACGGGUGAGUAACACGUGGGUAACCUGCCCAUAAGACUGGGAUAACUCCGGGAAACCGGGGCUAAUACCGGAUAGCAUUUUGAACCGCAUGGUUCGAAAUUGAAAGGCGGCUUCGGCUGUCACUUAUGGAUGGACCCGCGUCGCAUUAGCUAGUUGGUGAGGUAACGGCUCACCAAGGCGACGAUGCGUAGCCGACCUGAGAGGGUGAUCGGCCACACUGGGACUGAGACACGGCCCAGACUCCUACGGGAGGCAGCAGUGGUCAUAGC